rnacentral:rRNA from 1 species
GGCCUCAGUACGGCGAGUGAGCGGCAAAAGCUCAAAUUUGAAAUCUAGCACCUUCUGUGUUCGAGUUGUAAUUUGAAGAUGGUAACCUUGGGUUUGGCUCUUGUCUAUGUUCCUUGGAACAGGACGUCAUAGAGGGUGAGAAUCCCGUCUGAUGAGAUGCCCAUUCCUAUGUAAGGUGCUAUCGAAGAGUCGAGUUGUUUGGGAAUGCAGCUCUAAGUGGGUGGUAAAUUCCAUCUAAAGCUAAAUAUUGGCGAGAGACCGAUAGCGAACAAGUACAGUGAUGGAAAGAUGAAAAGAACUUUGAAAAGAGAGUGAAAAAGUACGUGAAAUUGUUGAAAGGGAAGGGCAUUAGAUCAGACUUGGUGUUUUACGAUUAUCUUCUCUUCUUGAGUUGUGCACUCGUAUUUCACUGGGCCAGCAUCGAUUCGGGAUGGCAAGAUAAUAGCAGUUGAAUGUGGCUUCACUUCGGUGGGAGUGUUAUA